UAAAUAUUAUGGUGUUAGAAAAAAAUAAUGAUAUGAUAACUACUUCUGCUCAAUUAUACUUCUUCAAGUGUCUCUUGCCUUGGCUCUUUACAAUCCUAUGUAAAUUUUAGAAACAUACUGUCACAUUCCACAAAAAAAAUCAGUUGAGAUUUUAAUUGGGAUCCUAUUAAAUCUAUGUUUAGGAUUUAGUGUUCUGAUUUAUGAACAUAGUAUAUAUCUCUUUAUAUAUAUUUCCUUUGAUGCUUUUCUAUAAGAGUUUUACAAUUUUCUCUGUUAUACAUUUGUUUUUUUGAUUUUUGUUUUUUUUGUUUGUUUUUUGUUUUUUUAAAUUUUUAUUUAUUUAUGAUAGUCACAGAGAGAGAGAGAGAGGCAGAGACACAGGCAGAGGGAGAAGCAGGCUCCAUGCACCGGGAGCCUGAUGUGGGAUUCGAUCCCGGGUCUCCAGGAUCGCGCCCUGGGCCAAAGGCAGGCGCCAAACCGCUGCGCCACCCAGGGAUCCCAGAUUUUUGGUUUUUUGAUUUAUUCCAGGUACUUGAUAUUUUUAGAUGUUAUUAUAAGAGGAUUUUUCCUUUUCAUCUUCUACCUAUUUGUUGUUGAUAUAUAAACAUACUUCAUAUUGGUUUUGCCUUCAACAGCAACUUUGAUAAAUCUAUAAUUCUAACGAUUAAGCUGAACUUUCUCAAAGAAUUGUUUAUAAACAAGUCUCUCUUUCCUCAUAUGGGACUCAUUUCUCAACUCACUACAUUCUCAUUUUCACCCUUUCCACACCAGUCAAACUACUGUUUUCAAUAUCAUCAAUAGCCCCUCCAUAUUGUCCAAUCCAAAAGACUCUCCUUGGAUUCCUCAAGACCUUGCAGAUAGGUUCCACAAGACCUUGUUUCUCCUCUUUCUGAUAUGCCAUCUUUUUUUCUUCUAUUACAAAGCACUCUCCUUAUUUUUCUCCUACUUCUCUGCUGGUCACUUUGCAGUUACCUCAUUCUGCCACUCUUCUACAUCCUGGUGUUUCUUGGGAUUCCAUCCUAGACCUUCUCUCUUCUCAUGCUGUAUACUGUUCCUCCUGGAGCUCUUCCAUCUAUUCUUAUGGCUUCUACAAUUGUUACACAAUGAUGAUUCUCACAUUUCAAACUCUUAGCCCAUAUUACUCUCUUGAGCAUCAGGCCACUACCCAAUUUCCCAGACAUCUCCAUUUGGAUCGUGCCUUAGGAAACAUACUUAAAAGUCUGAUAACUUUAACUAUCUAAAAAUAAUUAAUUUAUGCAAACUCAGCCUGCAUAAAACUUAACUUACUGAAAACAAAUAGAAAUGAAAAAUAACAUAGAAACAUUAAAAAAU
rnacentral:lncRNA from 1 species